rnacentral:rRNA from 1 species
CACGUAGGAGGCGAGCGUUGUCCGGAAUCAUUGGGCGUAAAGAGCGCGCAGGCGGCUUGGCAAGUCGGGUGUGAAAUCCCGGGGCUCAACCCCGGGACUGCAUUCGAUACUGUCAGGCUAGAGGUAGGUAGGGGAGAUCGGAAUUCCUGGUGUAGCGGUGAAAUGCGCAGAUACCAGGAGGAACACCGGUGGCGAAGGCGGAUCUCUGGGCCUUACCUGACGCUCAGGCGCGAAAGCUAGGGGAGCGAACAGG